AAAUUACUCCCUCCGUCCCAAAUUUCUUGUCUUAGAUUUGUCUAGAUACGGAUGUAUCAAGUCACACUUUAGUAUUAGAUACAUCCGUACUAGACAAAUCUAAGACAAGAAAUUUGGGACAGAGGGAGUAGUUG
rnacentral:pre_miRNA from 1 species